rnacentral:rRNA from 1 species
AUUGAACGCUGGCGGCAGGCCUAACACAUGCAAGUCGAACGCGUGGCGGACGGGUGAGUAAUGUAUGGGCAUCUGCCUGAUGGAGGGGGAUAACUACUGGACACGGUAGCUAAUACCGCAUACCAUCAGAUGUGCCCAGAUGGGUUUAGCUUGUGGAGGGGGUAACGGCUCAUCAAGGCGACGAUCCCUAGCUGGUCUGAGAGGAUGACCAGCCAGACUGGAACUGAGACACGGUCCAGAGUCCUACGGGAGGCAGCAGUGGGGAAUAUUGCACAAGGGGCGCAAGCCUGAUGCAGCCAUGCCGCGUGUAUGAAGAAGGCCUUCGGGUUGUAAAGUACUUUCAGCGGGGAGGCGUUACCCGCAGAAGAAGCACCGGCUAACUCCGUGCCAGCAGCCGCGGUAAUUC